rnacentral:rRNA from 1 species
UGAGGAAUAUUGGUCAAUGGGCGUAAGCCUGAACCAGCCAAGUAGCGUGAGGGAAGACUGCCCUAUGGGUUGUAAACCUCUUUUGUGCGGGGAUAAAGUGUGGGACGUGUCCCAUAUUGCAGGUACCGCACGAAUAAGGACCGGCUAAUUCCGUGCCAGCAGCCGCGGUAAUACGGAAGGUCCGGGCGUUAUCCGGAUUUAUUGGGUUUAAAGGGAGCGCAGGCCGUCCUUUAAGCGUGCUGUGAAAUGCCGCGGCUCAACCGUGGCACUGCAGCGCGAACUGGAGGACUUGAGUACGCACGAGGUAGGCGGAAUUCGUGGUGUAGCGGUGAAAUGCUUAGAUAUCACGAAGAACUCCGAUUGCGAAGGCAGCUUACCGGAGCGCAACUGACGCUGAGGCUCGAAAGCGCGGGUAUCGAACAGGAUUAGAUACCCUGGUAGUCCGCGCGGUAAACGAUGGAUGCCCGCCGUUGGGAUUUAGAUUUCAGCGGCCAAGCGAAAGCGUUAAGCAUCCCACCUGGGGAGUACGCCGGCAACGGUGAAACUCAAAGGAAUUGACGGGGGCCCGCACAAGCGGAGGAACAUGUGGUUUAAUUCGAUGAUACGCGAGGAACCUUACCCGGGCUUGAAUUGCAGGAGAACGAUCCAGAGAUGGUGAGGCCCUUCGGGGCUCCUGUGAAGGUGCUGCAUGGUCGUCGUCAGCUCGUGCCGUGAGGUGUCGGCUCAAGUGCCAUAACGAGCGCAACCCCUGUCCAUAGUUGCCAUCAGGUCGUGCUGGGCACUCUGUGGAGACUGCCGCCGUAAGGUGUGAGGAAGGUGGGGAUGACGUCAAAUCAGCACGGCCCUUACGUCCGGGGCUACACACGUGUUACAAUGGGGCAUACAGCGAGUUGGAUGUGCGCAAGUACGUCCGGAUCAAUAAAGUGCCUCUCAGUUCGGACUGGGGUCUGCAACCCGACCCCACGAAGCUGGAUUCGCUAGUAAUCGCGCAUCAGCCAUGGCGCGGUGAAUACGUUCCC